rnacentral:misc_RNA from 1 species
UGGAUGGAAUUCUUCACAUCUGGGCU